rnacentral:rRNA from 1 species
AUUGAACGCUGGCGGCAGGCCUAACACAUGCAAGUCGAGCGGAUACAGGGAGCUUGCUCCUGGAUUCAGCGGCGGACGGGUGAGUAAUGCCUAGGAAUCUGCCACGGAGUGGGGGAGAACGUCCAGAAACGGGAGCUAAUACCGCAUACGUCCUACGGGAGAAGGUGGAGGAUCUUCGGACCUCAGGCUAUCACAUGAGCCUAGGUCCGAUUAGCUAGUUGGUGGGGUAAAGGCCUACCCAGGCGACGAUCCGUAGCUGGUCUGAGAGGAUGACCAGCCACACUGGAACUGAGACACGGUCCAGACUCCUACGGGAGGCAGCAGUGGGGAAUAUUGGACAAUGGGCGAAAGCCUGAUCCAGCCAUGCCGCGUGUGUGAAGAAGGUCUUCGGGUUGUAAAGCACUUUAAGUUGGGAGGAAGGGAAGUAAGUUAAUACCUUGCUGCAUUGACGUUACCAGCAGAAUAAGCACCGGCUAACUUCGUG